rnacentral:rRNA from 1 species
UCCGUAGGUGAACUGCGGAAGGAUCAUUAAUGAAUUUUAGGACUCUCUUUUUAGAGGUCCGACCCUUUCAUUUCCAUACACUGUGCACACACUUCUUUUCACACAUUUUAACACUAUAGUAUAAGAAUGUAACAGUCUCUUUAUUGAGCAUAAAUAAAAAUAAAACUUUCAGCAACGGAUCUCUUGGCUCUCGCAUCGAUGAAGAACGCAGCGAAUUGCGAUAAGUAAUGUGAAUUGCAGAAUUCAGUGAAUCAUCGAAUCUUUGAACGCACCUUGCACUCUUUGGUAUUCCGAAGAGUAUGUCUGUUUGAGUGUCAUGAAACUCUCAACCCCCCUAUUUUGUAAUGAGAUGGGCGUGGGCUUGGAUUAUGACUGCUGUCGGCGUAAUUGCCGGCUCAGUUGAAAUACACGAGCAACCCAUUUGAAAUAAACGGCUUGACUCGGCGUAAUAAUUAUUUCGCUGAGGACGUUUUCUUCAAAAGUUAGAGGUGCUUCUAAUGCGCUAUUACAGCACUUUAAAUUUUAGACCUCAAAUCAGUCAGGACUACCCGCUGAACUUAAGCAUA